rnacentral:rRNA from 1 species
UAUGGGUGUGCCAGCCGCCGCGGUAAUACGGAAGGUCCAGGCGUUAUCCGGAUUUAUUGGGUUUAAAGGGAGCGUAGGCCGUUUGGUAAGCGUGUUGUGAAAUGUCGGGGCUCAACCUGGGCAUUGCAGCGCGAACUGCCAGACUUGAGUGCGCAGGAAGUAGGCGGAAUUCGUCGUGUAGCGGUGAAAUGCUUAGAUAUGACGAAGAACUCCGAUUGCGAAGGCAGCCUGCUGUAGCGCAACUGACGCUGAAGCUCGAAAGCGUGGGUAUCGAACAGG